UUGCUGGCUGACCUCACUGCUGACCUAAAUGAGCUCAGGGGUGUGUGGCUCCACACUGUGGACUCGGGGGCGUGGGGGCUGUACCCGUGGCCGUCUGAGGGUAGGUGUGGGUGACGUGUGCUCCGCCUGAUCAGAGGGAGUGCGAGCCGGAGAGACCAGGCACCCCCCGCCCGCCCCCAUUAGCUUUGCCGACGCAGGACUUGCACUUCACCUUGGGCCGUCUCCAGCCAUGAAGCUCCUUUUGCUGAUUUUGGCUACUCUCCUGCUGUUGUCUCAGCUAACUCCAGGUGGCACCCAGAAAUGCUGGAAUCUUCAUGGCCAAUGCCGCCAUAGAUGCACCAGGAAGGAAAAGGUCUACGUGUACUGCACAAAUAGUAAGAUGUGCUGUGUGAAGCCCAAGUAUCAGCCAAAAGAAAAGCCACGGCCAUUUUAAGUGCUUUGAAGCCUGAAGCCAUGAAAAUGGAGAUGAAGCUAUGCUGAGUCUUACCCCAGUGGAUCCCUGAGCUCUAUCAAUAAACACCUCUGGCUGAUCACUGUGCUUGUCUAUUAGUGUACCCCAGCAGUUGUCAGGAGGUCCUUUUUCGGGUGGUUCAGAAAAUCAAAACUAUUCUUGUAAUAAUAAUAAAACAUCAUUUGCCUUUUUAAA